rnacentral:rRNA from 1 species
AUGACAAGAAGAUACUGGAACAUGAAUUUGAAAGAGAUGAUAGAAGCAAGAGUUCAUUUUGGUCAUGGUAUUAAGAAAUGGAAUCCUAAAAUGGCUGCUUACAUUUCGGCAAAGCGUAAAGGUACUCAUAUUAUAAAUCUCGCAAGAACGGCUCGUUUUUUAUCAGAAGCUUGUGAUUUAGUUUUUGAUGCAGCAAGUCAAGGGAAAAGUUUCUUAAUUGUUGCUACCAAAAAAAGAGCAAUAGACUUAGUAGCAUCAGCUGCAAUAAGGGCUCGUUGUCAUUAUGUUAGUAAAAAGUGGUUCAGUGGUAUGUUAACGAAUUGGUCGAUUACGAAAACUAGACUUUCUCAAUUUAGAAACUUAAGAGCAGAAAAAAAUUGGGAAAAUUCCACCAUGUCCCAAAAAGAGAUGUGG